AAAAAAAAAAAAAAAAAAGAAUCAAAGCUUUAAAAUCCAGCAGAAGUAAAAUUUCCAAGUGGGAGGGAAGAGGAUCAACAGGAGAAUCUGCAAGAGUAAAAGAGGAAGAAGAUGUGUGCUGCAUGGCACAAAAUGAAUCUGCAAAGCAUCUGGGAACUGCAGACCCUACUGAUGCCUGGAACUCACUGGAGUCAGCAUGUCCAGGCAGUCAUUGUAGCAAGUCAGAGUGGUGUGAUGAAAUGCUUCAGGAGAAAAACAUUUCACCACAGCCUGGUUCACUCAGAUACCUUGCCAGGGAACCAACAUCUCACUCGGGCCUCUGAUAUUGUAACUGUGGGCCUUUAAGAAACAACGGAAAACCCAACUGAAUAAAAACUGACCUCCUUUGUGGCUGCCCUGAUGGAAGGGGCUCAGGAGCAACAGCCUUCAUGGUGCCCACCCUCUGGGCCAGAACAACGGAUGCCCCACAACUGAGUUUAGUGCCUCCAAGAACCACAGCUUUUUUUUGCAGCAGUAAGAGCAUACCUCUGAGGCACUGUGAAGAAUCUGAUAGUCGAACUGAAUGAAGCCAAGUCCAGUCUUUACGGAAAAAUUUACACAACACUUCCAGCCGGAGCAGAUGUGUAUUAACCCAAUUGGACAUCCGUGAAGACACCAAGGCCCAGAGAGAUCAUAAGAACCUAUAGAAGUUUCCAUGACUGGUGGAUGUGACAGUCAAGCCGCAGUUUGUAUAAUACACAGCCAUAAUCUUAUCUACCACUUUUAAAAAUUAAACAUAGAU
rnacentral:lncRNA from 1 species